rnacentral:lncRNA from 1 species
CCUGAGGCUCACUCAUAUCUUCUUUUAUGUCCAAUGUACCUUCAGUUGGUGCAUACUCCAAAUUCACACUUAAGUGACCAUCACUGUCCUCUUGAUCCUUCAAUCCCAGCUCUUGGCUAGAACUCUUGCCCUGUUCUGCUGACUGUUCAUGGCUUUCCUCUUUUGACUUUAGUACUGAUGAUUUUUCAGCCUUAAAAGAAAAAAAAGUUCAUUCUUCAAACAAAUGAUAAUGUAACCAUAUUUAUGCCUAAGGUAACAUUUAAUAUUCAUUAUUCUUUUUCUUCACACACUAUCAUGUAAACAUGUUUAUAAUAUUCCUCACACUCUGUAGCCACAGGUUUAAACUGAAUUUGGAUUUUAUAAAAUGAAACAAGUAUACAGCAGCUCAGCCCAAGUAGUAAAACUCAUUAAUCCUCAUCAUUCUUCUAGUGAUUGGAGGCAGUUGAGGUGAUCAUCAUGUUUUAAAAAAAUUAAACUGAGACAUAAAUAACAUAAUCUCUUUUACCAUGCUUUGAAACUAAGACCUUUGGAGAAUUAAAAAAUUGUAUUAAUAUAAAUGAUGUUACUUUUACCUUAUGGUGGGAAUCGUCUUCUGUGGAUACUGCUGUUUCUUUUUCAUUUUCUUCAGCUUCAGCCCUUAAACUGGGGAUUGCAGUGUUGUCAGGUGCUACCGUUUCAGCAGUUGGUUUGGAAUGAUCAGAUAAUAAUCUUGCAUUUGUCUGAAAAAAUUAAAAACUGGUUUUUGUUAUUCAUGUCUGGAUGCUAAUUUACAAAUUUGCUAGUUACUCUUGUUGUCAUCAUUAUUAGUAGCAAUAUACUUCAUUUAUACCAACAAUUUAAAAAUAUUCUCUAGAGUUUUUGAGGAUAUAAGCAGAUGCCUAGAACAGAAUGUUAAGUGGAAGCAGAAUCUCAAUUGUGUUUAAGAAAAAGUUAUUUAUGCAGAGACUGGGUGAAAAUAAAACAAAAUGCAUUUAAAUAAUGGUAACUUUGAGUUUUGAAAUUAUUUUCUGUGUUUUUUAAACUUUUGCAAAGCAUUUGUACUUUACAAUUUUGGAAAGUGUUGUUUAGCAGAAAGUUGAAGUCAAAUAAAAUUAACCAUAGGAUAUAGUAUUGUACAUUUGCCUAAUUUAAGUACCCACCGAUAAUUAGCAGAAAAAUUUAUAAACUUUUUAUCAAUAUUUAUUUGAUUUCUUAACGCCAUUGGCCUUAACGUUGGUCAGGAAAUCUUAAUGGGGCUGGGCAUGGUGGCUCACGCCUGUAAUCCCAGGUCUUUGGGAUGCCGAGGUGGGUGGAUCACCUGAGGUCAAGGGCAGGAGUUCAAGACUAGCCUGGACAACAUGGUGAAACCCCGUCUCUACUAAAAAUACAAAAAAUUAGCUGGGUGUGGUGGUGGGUGCCUGUAAUCGCAGCUACUCGGGAGGCUGAGGCAGGAGAAUCACUUGAACCCUGGAGGCGGAGGUUGCAGUGAGCUGAGAUUGUGCCAUUGCACUCCAGCCUGGUCAACAAGAGUGAAACUCCAUCUCAAAAACAAAAAAAAUUAGAAUUAAUUCAGACUGUGUGAGACAGGGCACUAAGCCUAAGUAGAAAAGGGCAUGUCUGGAGUAUUAAUUUCUAUUAGAGGGAUGGUCCUAUUUCUAGCAAGAUUGGAGACUUGGAUAAAGAGCUGGGCAGUGAUGCAUGAUGGGGAAGUUGAACAACUGAACUUGGAGGUAAGAGGCCUCCAUUCAAGUCUUGCCUCUGCUAUUUACUUUCUAUCUGUGGUUUGACAGGUCGUUAAUAUUUUUUAUUAAUUAAAAAACAUUAAUAAAAUUAAUUCAUUAUAUUAAUUUUUAAUUAAUUAACUCCAGCCUCUUGCCCAGGGUGGAGUUCAGUGAUGAAGUCUCGGCUCACUGCAACCUCUGCCUCCCAGGCUCAAGCCACCCUUCCACUUCAGCCUCCCCAGUAACUGGGACUAUAGGCACCACCAUGCCUGGGUAAUUUUUGUAUUUUUUGUAGAGAUGGAGUUUCACCAUGUUGCCCAGUCUGGCCUCGAACUUCUGAACUCAAGCAAUCUUCCUGUCUUGGCCUCCCAAAGUGCUGGGAUUACAGGUGUGAGCCACCAUGACCGGCCAAGGUCAUUAAUUUCUACCCUGCCAUCUCUCAAGGUGGCAAGAAAUAUCAAGUGAGCAGAAAUAUCAAAAUAAGAUUAUGUAUAAAAAAUAUGUUAUAAAUUUUAAGGAGUUGCCCAACUGAAAAUUACUAUUUCUAGUACUAAUGUCACACUGUGUCAAUAAUAUAAACUGCCCAGUAUCUGAGGCAGAUAUUCACCAUGGAUCUUUAUUAGAGAGAUACUCUGGACACUCAGAUGGCCUAUCCAGGUGUAAGUAUGAAACUGAGAUUCUAUUUGGAUUAACUUAUUUUUAUUCCAUUAGCAGGUCCUGUAGUGCUGACUGUGUAAUAGUCAUGGAGUACAGGAUUUAUUUUUUAUUUUUAAACUUUUUUUUGAGACAGAGUCUCACUCUGUUGCCCAGGCUGAAAUACAGUGGUGAUCUUGGCUCACUGUAACCUCCACCUGCUGGGUUCAAGCAAUUCUCAUGCCUCAGCCUCCUGAGUAGCUGGGAUUGCAGGUGCCUGCCACCAUGCCCUGCUAAUUUUUGUAUUUAUUUAUUUUUCUAGUAGAGACAGGAUUUCACCAUGUUGGCCAGGCUGGUCUCAAACUCCUGGCCUCAAGUGAUCUGCCCACCUUGGCCUCCCAAAGUGCUGGGAUUACAGAUGUGAGCCACGGCUUCUGGCCAAAGUACAGGAUUCAUAUUAGGUUUGGUUUGCUCCUUUGCUUCUUAUCUCCUUUUCACCUAAGAUGGGUAAUGAAUUUGAAAAAGUUUAUAAAGAAGCCUUAAAGAAGGGGGAAAAGGAGAAAGAAUGGUGGCCACUUUGGUAAGCUGCCAGCAGGGGGCAUCAUAGAAGGCAAUGGAUGGGGGAGAUUUUAGGCUUAUUAGUGGAGAACUGGUCACUCUCUCUCCCCCUCCAUCCGCCUACUGCCCAAGCAGGAAGAAAUGCACACAAAAAAUGGCAGCUCUUUUACUUUCAGAAAUAUUCUGCAAUUGAAAUUAUGUUUUAUCACUAUGGGCAUAUUUCUAUUUAUUUAACUCUGGAAAUCUAUUUGGAAUCUCCCAACUACACAGAAUCCAUUUUCAUCUGGAGAAUUCAGGCAGGCAGGGAAAAUUAUACAAAUUUUUAAUAGGUCAUUUCUAUGAGAAGAUACUUAGCUUUCUAGCAGUUUGGCUAGGUUUACAUGAUAUCAAAUUGUCCCAGAAAGGAAACAUCUGGAAUGUGUCUAAAUGCAAGUGUGUCAUUCAAACAUUUGGUUCAAACACUUUUUUUGUUUUUUGAGGCAGUCUUGCUCUGUCACCCAGGCUGGAGUGCUGUGUGCGAUCUUGGCUCACUGCAGCCUCAACUACCCUGGCUUAAGGGAUCCUCCCUCCUGUGCCUCCCAAGUAGCUGGGACUACAGGCACAUGCCAUGGCAGCUGGCUAAUUUUUUAUUUAUUUUUUUGUAGAGACGUGGCCUCACUAUGUUACCCAGGCCGGUCUUGAACUCUUGGGCUCAAGCGAUCCUCUGGCCUUGACCUCCCAAAGUGCUGGGAUUAUAGGUAGGAGCCACUGUGCGUGGCCCAAAGACACUUUUUAAUGUUUAUUUACAUAACAGCAACAGCCACAAGGACAAAGCACAUUUUCAGGAGAAAACAACGGUUUUGUGGGAACUCCUUUCAGUGUUGAACAUUAACUUGUCCCGCUUUUGUGAUUUCAGGGUGUAAUGUAUAAUUUCAGCUAGAGUAGCUCCAUACUACUUAAGCAUGAUUCCUGAUGGUGGGUAUAAACUCUGUCUUCCAAGAACAGCUUGGUCUGGGUGCCAUGGAGUUUGUUUUUGCUGACACAUUUGUCAACCAGAAGCUAGCUAACAACUUAUCCAAAAAGCAAGGACAGAAUUUUAGACCUAGAGAAGAAGGGAGGAAAGGGACGAUUGAGAAAUUGUUUUGUCUCUUUAAAGGAGGCUGAUUCCUCCAUUUGGUGAAAAAGAAAAAAAAUAUGGCACGAAUCCUUUGGUUUAAUGAAGGAUUACAUGAAUCAUUUGCAGAACAUCUCCAGUGGUCAUUCAUGCUAUGGUUUCAUUUGUUUUUUAACUUUCAGUUUGUUUUGAGGCCACUGACACGGUUUCAAAUGAUCUGAUUUGUGUACAGCUGCUUUAUUGCUGUGCAAAUGGGGCCAAUAUAUCUGACCAUGAAGAAGAGAAUAUUCUAGCCCUGCCUACUUUCAGCAUACUUGCUUGGACAGCCUCCCAAGGGUGAAUUAGGAGCUGAUUUAUGAUUACCAUAUCGUUUCCUGCCUAAACCAUUGGUUUCUGUUUUCAUUAUAGACUCUCAAAAUUUCUCAGCCAGCAUCUAUUUGAUCUUGAAGAAAAUGCUGCUGGAGACCGUGGAUAUGCACCCUAAGUAUUUUUUUUUUUUCAGACGGAGUCUCACUCUGUUGCCCAGGCUGGAGUGCAGUGGAGUGAUCUCAGCUCACUGCAAUCUCUGCCUCCUGGGUUCAAUUGAUUCUCCUUGCCUCAGCCUCCCGAGUAGCUGGGAUUACAGGUGCCCGCCACCAUGCCCGGCUAAUUUUUGUAUUUUUUAGUAGAGACGGGGUUUUGCCAUGUUGGCCAGGCUGGUCUUGAGCUCCUGACCUCAGGUGAUCCGCCCAUCUCAGCCUCCCGAAGUGCUGGGAUUACAGGCGUGAGCCACCGCACCUGGCCUAAAAUCUUGGGUUUAUAAUAACAAUGUGAUGAGCUUCCCUGGGAGAAUUUAUUUCUUCCUGUCUCUUGUGUAUUUGGGCUGAUUCUAUGGCUAAUAAACUGAUAGCC